CACGUAGGGUGCGAGCGUUGUCCGGAAUUAUUGGGCGUAAAGAGCUCGUAGGCGGUGUGUCGCGUCGGCCGUGAAAACCUGCAGCUUAACUGUGGGCGUGCGGUCGAUACGGGCAUCACUGGAGUUCGGCAGGGGAGACUGGAAUUCCUGGUGUAGCGGUGAAAUGCGCAGAUAUCAGGAGGAACACCGGUGGCGAAGGCGGGUCUCUGGGCCGGCAUUGACGCUGAGGAGCGAAAGCCAGGGGAGCAAACGGG
rnacentral:rRNA from 1 species